rnacentral:lncRNA from 1 species
ACAAAAUGAAUUUGAAAUUAACAUUUGAAUUUGCGUUUCAUUUGAAACUUUGCUAUAAAGUUAGAGAUUACAUUUGUUGCACAUGACCUACACCUAAGCAUCACACGGUUUCCAUCUCUACUCCUCAUAAACUCAACACACAAAUAUCUCAAAUUCCCUCUAAAAUCUUCACAUAAACCUCACUUAAUUACAUCUCAGUAAACCUCAUACAAACUUAACCUCUCAUUCACAUAUAUUACAAUAAAAUAUCUUCACACACUUAAAUCAACUCACAGACUCACCAAUCUAUACCUAAAGUUUAUCCUAUAUAAGCAUAAGCAUUCUACUAUACAAUGGAAGCAAUAUUCAAAAAUCAUAAAAUUAAAUGAAU